rnacentral:rRNA from 1 species
GACGAACGCUGGCGGCGUGCUUAACACAUGCAAGUCGAACGGAAAGGCCCUGCUUUUGUGGGGUGCUCGAGUGGCGAACGGGUGAGUAACACGUGAGUAACCUGCCCUUGACUUUGGGAUAACUUCAGGAAACUGGGGCUAAUACCGGAUAGGAGCUCCUGCUGCAUGGUGGGGGUUGGAAAGUUUCGGCGGUUGGGGAUGGACUCGCGGCUUAUCAGCUUGUUGGUGGGGUAGUGGCUUACCAAGGCUUUGACGGGUAGCCGGCCUGAGAGGGUGACCGGCCACAUUGUGUCUGAUAUACGGCCCAGACUCCUACGGGAGGCAGCAGUGGGGAAUAUUGCACAAUGGGCGGAAGCCUGAUGCAGCAACGCCGCGUGCGGGAUGACGGCCUUCGGGUUGUAAACCGCUUUCGCCUGUGACGAAGCGUGAGUGACGGUAAUGGGUAAAGAAGCACCGGCUAACUACGUG